rnacentral:tmRNA from 1 species
GGGGGCGACCUGGUUUCGACAGGGGUAGCAAAGCGGCUCAGGGCAUGCCGAGGACCCGUUACCUCGUUAAUCAAUGGGAAAUUUGUAACUGCGAACGACAACACGUACGCACUGGCUGCUUAAUUGCAGCCGUCCUCGCACUGGCUCGCUGACGGGCUAGGGUCGUAAGACCGGUCGCAAGACCGCGCGAGGUCAUUCACGUCAGCUAAGCCUCGGUGGCGUCACGACAUCAGGGUCGAAAAUUUAGUGAAUCGCCGUCCGGCAGCGUGUUCGUCCGCGUCCGUACGGUUAAAUCAAAUGACUGAACUACGCAUGUAGAACUGGUCGUGGAGUGCUUCUGGACGCGGGUUCGAUUCCCGCCGCCUCCACCA